GAAGAAAUCAUGCUUGUCCAAUUUAUAUUUAUCUUUUAAUGCCGUAAAGCUUUGUAUUGUGUUCUUUCCCAUUAUGUUGCAAUAAGCUGUGAUACCUUUAAUUUUCCAAGAUUUAAAAUUUGAAUCCAUACAAUUUGGUUUAAACUUUGUGUCAUAUGCAAUCAUCUGAGUUUUUUUUGUCUAAUUGUUAAGUUUAGUUUUUUCA